rnacentral:rRNA from 1 species
GACGAACGCUGGCGGCGUGCUUAACACAUGCAAGUCGAACGGUGAAGGGGCCUGCUUUUGUGGGCCCUGGAUGAGUGGCGAACGGGUGAGUAACACGUGAGUAACCUGCCCCCUUCUUCUGGAUAACCGCAUGAAAGUGUGGCUAAUACGGGAUAUUCUGGGUCUGUCGCAUGAUGGGUCUGGGAAAGAUUGCGCCUUUGGGUGUUUUUGGUGGGGGAUGGGCUCGCGGCCUAUCAGCUUGUUGGUGGGGUGAUGGCCUACCAAGGCGGUGACGGGUAGCCGGCAUGGGGGGGUGGACGGUCACACUGGGACUGAGACACGGCCCAGACUCCUACGGGAGGCAGCAGUGGGGAAUAUUGCACGAUGGGCGCAAGCCUGAUGCAGCGACGCCGCGUGAGGGAUGGAGGCCUUCGGGUUGUAAACCUCUUUCGCCAGUGAAGCAGGCCUGCUCCUUGUGGGUGGGUUGACGGUAGCUGGAUAAGAAGCGCCGGCUAACUACGUG